rnacentral:rRNA from 1 species
GCUUACGGCCAUACCACCCUGAACACGCCCGAUCUCGGAAGCUAAGCAGGGUCGGGCCUUGUUCGUACUUGGAUGGGAGACCGCCUGGGAAUACCAGGUGCUGUAAGCU